GUGUGUUGCCGGCUACGUGCGGCCGCGGCUACCCGACUAUAAAACCUCUACACUGGACUUAAGGAGCGAGAACGAACUGUGGUCGUGGUACUGUAAGAGGUACCAGGGAGAGGGUCAAGGUGACCAUCAGGAGAGCUGCGUCGGCGAUUCAGGUCGUGGCCAUAUGUGGUAUCCUCUUUGAGUCCUACCACGCACAACGGAACACAAGUAGCAAAUGUCUCGGUAGCACGUUGACACCGACGAGUUCUUCUUGUCGCUGUUAUGUUUACACACCCUCGACCUCUUCGGUUCAGUUUAUCCGCUCCACCGGCCGAUGGCCGCUAAAUCGUAGGUAGACCACCAACGGCCUGAUCGAGAACAAGUGACACACCCGCCGUUCGUAAUAACGAACCAGUAACUAGAGUUCUUGGACUCGGAGUUCCUGUUUAAAGAAACAGUGGCAACGCACCGAAUGGGAAUGGUUUACGGUACCGGUGGACGACCUAACGACCGAUGAAGAUGUACACUCGCUAGGUGUGGAGUCAGUAUACGAACACCUCCACGACUUUUCGUUGUCCUUCGUGGAAGAAGAUCAUCCUUCGCAUUCUCGUUGCUACUUUACAGUUCGUCAUUUCUUUGCUGCCUCGGUACAUAGAGGUAUCGAAUUAAGCAACCUCUUACUUAGUUGCCUCUUCUUUAAAACGAUACUCUGAACUUUUGUCUUCCGCUAGUCUGUGAACGUGAAGUCAUGACCCACGACUCUAUAUCGACUAACUCAACCUCCCUCGAGGUUCAGACGGCUGAGUAGCAUAACUACUUCUGUUAUUUUUCUAGUCAACAAUGGUUCAUAAGACAAAGACAAACCACAAACCUAAAAACUGAACAACAUUUCGUUAGUUACAACAUUCCACACACCAUCAUAACUUCUAUUUCUUUCUUGUAACCACACAAAAGUCUCAUUAUUCUUGCAAUAUUUGACAAGAAACCCCAGUACACACAGAACAUGGACUUUA
rnacentral:rRNA from 1 species